rnacentral:rRNA from 1 species
AUUGAACGCUGGAGGCAGGCCUAACACAUGCAAGUCGAGCGAGCGGCGGACGGGUGAGUAAUGUAUGGGGAAUGCUCGAUAGAGGGGGGUAACUACUGGAAAAGGUGGCUAAUACCGCAUAUUGUCGGCUAACCCCGAUGGGAUUAGCUAGUGGGUAAGGUAAUGGCUUACCUAGGCGCCGAUCCCUAGCGGGUCUGAGAGGAGGAUCAGCCACACUGGGACUGAGACACGGCCCAGACUCCUACGGAGGCAGCAGUGGGGAAUAUUGCACAAUGGGCACAAGCCUGAUGCAGCCCUGCCGCGUGUAUGAAGAAGGCCCUAGGGUUGUAAAGUACUUUCAGUCGGGAGGCGUUACCGACAGAAGAAGCACCGGCUAACUCCGUGCCAGCAGCCGCGGUAAUAC